GGUUAAGCGACUAAGCGUACACGGUGGAUGCCCUGGCAGUCAGAGGCGAUGAAGGGCGUGCUAAUCUGCGAUAAGCGCCGGUAAGGUGAUAUGAACCGUUAUAACCGGCGAUACCCGAAUGGGGAAACCCAGUGUGACUCGUCACACUAUCAUUAACUGAAUCCAUAGGUUAAUGAGGCGAACCGGGGGAACUGAAACAUCUAAGUACCCCGAGGAAAAGAAAUCAACCGAGAUUCCCCCAGUAGCGGCGAGCGAACGGGGAGGAGCCCAGAGCCUGAAUCAGCAUGUGUGUUAGUGGAAGCGUCUGGAAAGGCGCGCGAUACAGGGUGACAGCCCCGUACACAAAAGCGCAUGUGCUGUGAGCUCGAUGAGUAGGGCGGGACACGUGGUAUCCUGUCUGAAUAUGGGGGGACCAUCCUCCAAGGCUAAAUACUCCUGACUGACCGAUAGUGAACCAGUACCGUGAGGGAAAGGCGAAAAGAACCCCGGCGAGGGGAGUGAAAAAGAACCUGAAACCGUGUACGUACAAGCAGUGGGAGCACAGGUUUACCUGUGUGACUGCGUACCUUUUGUAUAAUGGGUCAGCGACUUAUAUUCUGUAGCAAGGUUAACCGAAUAGGGGAGCCGCAGGGAAACCGAGUCUUAAUUGGGCGUUAAGUUGCAGGGUAUAGACCCGAAACCCGGUGAUCUAGCCAUGGGCAGGUUGAAGGUUGGGUAACACUAACUGGAGGACCGAACCGACUAAUGUUGAAAAAUUAGCGGAUGACCUGUGGCUGGGGGUGAAAGGCCAAUCAAACCGGGAGAUAGCUGGUUCUCCCCGAAAGCUAUUUAGGUAGCGCCUCGUGAAUUCAUCUCCGGGGGUAGAGCACUGUUUCGGCUAGGGGGCCAUCCCGGCUUACCAACCCGAUGCAAACUGCGAAUACCGGAGAAUGUUAUCACGGGAGACACACGGCGGGUGCUAACGUCCGUCGUGAAGAGGGAAACAACCCAGACCGCCAGCUAAGGUCCCAAAGUCAUGGUUAAGUGGGAAACGAUGUGGGAAGGCCCAGACAGCCAGGAUGUUGGCUUAGAAGCAGCCAUCAUUUAAAGAAAGCGUAAUAGCUCACUGGUCGAGUCGGCCUGCGCGGAAGAUGUAACGGGGCUAAACCAUGCACCGAAGCUGCGGCAGCGACACUAUGUGUUGUUGGGUAGGGGAGCGUUCUGUAAGCCUGUGAAGGUGUGUCGUGAGGCAUGCUGGAGGUAUCAGAAGUGCGAAUGCUGACAUAAGUAACGAUAAAGCGGGUGAAAAGCCCGCUCGCCGGAAGACCAAGGGUUCCUGUCCAACGUUAAUCGGGGCAGGGUGAGUCGACCCCUAAGGCGAGGCCGAAAGGCGUAGUCGAUGGGAAACGGGUUAAUAUUCCCGUACUUGGUGUUACUGCGAAGGGGGGACGGAGAAGGCUAUGUUGGCCGGGCGACGGUUGUCCCGGUUUAAGCGUGUAGGUGUGUGUUCCAGGUAAAUCCGGUUCACUUUAACACUGAGGCGUGACGACGAGGCACUACGGUGCUGAAGCAACAAAUGCCCUGCUUCCAGGAAAAGCCUCUAAGCAUCAGGUAACAUCAAAUCGUACCCCAAACCGACACAGGUGGUCAGGUAGAGAAUACCAAGGCGCUUGAGAGAACUCGGGUGAAGGAACUAGGCAAAAUGGUGCCGUAACUUCGGGAGAAGGCACGCUGACACGUAGGUGAAGUGAUUUACUCACGGAGCUGAAGUCAGUCGAAGAUACCAGCUGGCUGCAACUGUUUAUUAAAAACACAGCACUGUGCAAACACGAAAGUGGACGUAUACGGUGUGACGCCUGCCCGGUGCCGGAAGGUUAAUUGAUGUGGUCAGCGCAAGCGAAGCUCCUGAUCGAAGCCCCGGUAAACGGCGGCCGUAACUAUAACGGUCCUAAGGUAGCGAAAUUCCUUGUCGGGUAAGUUCCGACCUGCACGAAUGGCGUAAUGAUGGCCAGGCUGUCUCCACCCGAGACUCAGUGAAAUUGAACUCGCUGUGAAGAUGCAGUGUACCCGCGGCAAGACGGAAAGACCCCGUGAACCUUUACUAUAGCUUGACACUGAACAUUGAGCCUUGAUGUGUAGGAUAGGUGGGAGGCUUUGAAGCGUGGACGCCAGUCUGCAUGGAGCCGACCUUGAAAUACCACCCUUUAAUGUUUGAUGUUCUAACGUGGACCCGUUACCCGGGUUGCGGACAGUGUCUGGUGGGUAGUUUGACUGGGGCGGUCUCCUCCUAAAGAGUAACGGAGGAGCACGAAGGUUGGCUAAUCCUGGUCGGACAUCAGGAGGUUAGUGCAAUGGCAUAAGCCAGCUUGACUGCGAGCGUGACGGCGCGAGCAGGUGCGAAAGCAGGUCAUAGUGAUCCGGUGGUUCUGAAUGGAAGGGCCAUCGCUCAACGGAUAAAAGGUACUCCGGGGAUAACAGGCUGAUACCGCCCAAGAGUUCAUAUCGACGGCGGUGUUUGGCACCUCGAUGUCGGCUCAUCACAUCCUGGGGCUGAAGUAGGUCCCAAGGGUAUGGCUGUUCGCCAUUUAAAGUGGUACGCGAGCUGGGUUUAGAACGUCGUGAGACAGUUCGGUCCCUAUCUGCCGUGGGCGCUGGAGAACUGAGGGGGGCUGCUCCUAGUACGAGAGGACCGGAGUGGACGCAUCACUGGUGUUCGGGUUGUCAUGCCAAUGGCACUGCCCGGUAGCUAAAUGCGGAAGAGAUAAGUGCUGAAAGCAUCUAAGCACGAAACUUGCCCCGAGAUGAGUUCUCCCUGAGACUUUAAGUCUCCUGAAGGAACGUUGAAGACGACGACGUUGAUAGGCCGGGUGUGUAAGCGCAGCGAUGCGUUGAGCUAACCGGUACUAAUGAACCGUGAGGCUUAACCUU
rnacentral:rRNA from 1 species